UGCAACUUUUGGCCUAAAGGUUUGAAUAAUUAAAUUUGAACCUAUAGUUUUUUUUAAUAUAAUUUUGGGACCACAAUCCCAUUUUUAUAUUAUUUUUCUCUCUUUCUCUCACGUUGCUCGGCGUUUUUCUCGCGAGGGGGGAUUAUUUUUUUUUUCUUCAGAUUAUAUUGACAAAGAUAGUGGUGAAAAAGGAGUUGUGAAGGGGAACUUGUUAUUCAAGACAUAAGGAGCGAAUCCGGCCGAGAAAGCACCAGAGGUGUAAUUAUGGUGUAUGAGACACCAUCUUUUACGUUGCCUCUUAUUUUGGAUUAUACAAUGUAUCUUGUGCCAACUUAGGACAUAUCUUGUCUAUGGAGCAUGUAAACUCUAAUCCUUUUUAUUAAAAGUAUUUAUUUGACCAAGAGGAUUAUGUUUGUCUCUCUUGAUUCAUGACCUAAUUUAAAUAUCAUGCCAUGAGGAUCUUGA